rfam:Cajanus cajan Scaffold134726_4, whole genome shotgun sequence.
ACUUAUACUGACAACAUGUAUAUGCUUUUCUUUAGCUUAUCUCAUCAGAACUCCACAGUUAAGUGUGCUUGACUUGGAGUAAUACAGGGAUGGGUGACCUUCUGGGAAGUUUCCCAGAAACUGUGUAAGUA